UGAGAUGAUGAAUGUGCAAAAUAUUCUGAUUUGAUGAUUAUACAAUGUAUGCUUGUAUUAAAACAUCACACUAUACCCCAUGAUAUGUAUAAUUGUUAUGUCAAUUAGAAACAAAAUAAA